GGCGAACGCUGGCGGCGUGCCUAAUACAUGCAAGUAGAACGCACAGUUUAUACCGUAGCUUGCUACACCAUAGACUGUGAGUUGCGAACGGGUGAGUAACGCGUAGGUAACCUGCCUGGUAGCGGGGGAUAACUAUUGGAAACGAUAGCUAAUACCGCAUAAUAUUGAUUAUUGCAUGAUAAUUGAUUGAAAGAUGCUAUUGCAUCACUACCAGAUGGACCUGCGUUGUAUUAGCUAGUAGGUGAGGUAACGGCUCACCUAGGCGACGAUACAUAACCGACCUGAGAGGGUGAGCGGCCACACUGGGACUGAGACACGGCCCAGACUCCUACGGGAGGCAGCAGUAGGGAAUCUUCGGCAAUGGACGAAAGUCUGACCGAGCAACGCCGCGUGAGUGAAGAAGGUUGUCGGAUCGGAAAGCUCUGUUGUAAGAGAAGAACGGGUGUGAGAGUGGAAAGUUCACACUGUGACGGUAUCUUACCAGAAAGAGACGGCUAACUACGUG
rnacentral:rRNA from 1 species